GACGAACGCUGGCGGCGUGCUUAACACAUGCAAGUCGAGCGGUAAGGCCCUUUCGGGGGUACACGAGCGGCGAACGGGUGAGUAACACGUGGGUGACCUGCCCUCAGCUCUGGGAUAAGCCUGGGAAACUGGGUCUAAUACUGGAUAUGACUCCACGGUGCAUGUCGUGGGGUGGAAAGCCUUGUGCGGCUGAGGAUGGGCCCGCGGCCUAUCAGCUUGUUGGUGGGGUGACGGCCUACCAAGGCGACGACGGGUAGCCGGCCUGAGAGGGCGACCGGCCACACUGGGACUGAGACACGGCCCAGACUCCUACGGGAGGCAGCAGUGGGGAAUCUUGCGCAAUGGGCGAAAGCCUGACGCAGCGACGCCGCGUGAGGGAUGACGGCCU
rnacentral:rRNA from 1 species